rnacentral:rRNA from 1 species
AAUUACAAGCGAAAGCAUAAAAUUCAAAGGACUUGACGGUACUUCACAUCAGCCUAGAGGAGCCUGUCCUAUAAUCGAUAACCCACGUUUUACCUCACCUACUUUUGCAAAACCAGCCUGUAUACCGCCGUCGCCAGCCCAUCUAAUGAUAGAACAAAAAUGGACAAAAUUGUAAAACUACAAAAACGUCAGGUCAAGGUGCAGCUAAUGAGCAGGCCGAGAUGGGCUACAUUUUUUAAGUUAAAAAACUACUACCAAGCUACAUGAAACACUGAGCUAUCAAGGUGGAUUUAGUAGUAAAUGUGUGCAAGACAUGCCACAUUGAAACCCGUUAUGAAGUGCGUACACACCGCC